rnacentral:rRNA from 1 species
AGGGCGAGGGUUAAUAGCCCCUAGCCUGACGGUACCCUUCGAGGAAGCCCCGGCUAACUACGUGCCAGCAGCCGCGGUAAUACGUAGGGGGCGAGCGUUGUCCGGAAUUAUUGGGCGUAAAGAGCGUGUAGGCGGUUCGGUAAGUCUGCUGUGAAAUCCUGGGGCUCAACCCCGGGCGUGCAGCGGAUACUGCCGGGCUAGAGGAUGGUAGAGGCGAGUGGAAUUCCCGGUGUAGCGGUGAAAUGCGCAGAUAUCGGGAGGAACACCAGUAGCGAAGGCGGCUCGCUGGGCCAUUCCUGACGCUGAGACGCGAAAGCUAGGGGAGCGAACAGGAUUAGAUACCCUGGCAGUCCUAGCCGUAAACGAUGAACACUAGGUGUGGGGGGAGUCGAAUCCCUCCGUGCCGCAGCCAACGCGAUAAGUGUUCCGCCUGGGGAGUACGGCCGCAAGGCUAAAACUCAAAAGAAUUGACGGGGGCCCGCACAAGCAGCGGAGCAUGUUCUUUAAUUCGAUGCAACGCGAAGAACCUUACCUGGGCUUGACAUGGUGCUGCAAGCGCACGGAAACGUGUGACCUUCGAGGGUGCACCACAGAUGCUGCAUGGCUGUCGUCAGCUCGUGUCGUGAGAUGUUGGGUUAAGUCCCGCAACGAGCGCAACC